rnacentral:rRNA from 1 species
UACGUAGGUGGCAAGCGUUAUCCGGAUUUACUGGGUGUAAAGGGCGUGUAGGCGGGGACGCAAGUCAGGUGUGAAAACCACGGGCUCAACUUGUGGCCUGCAUUUGAAACUGUGUUUCUUGAGUACUGGAGAGGCAGACGGAAUUCCUAGUGUAGCGGUGAAAUGCGUAGAUAUUAGGAGGAACACCAGUGGCGAAGGCGGUCUGCUGGACAGCAACUGACGCUGAGGCGCGAAAGCGUGGGGAGCAAACAGG